GGUGAACCUGCGGAAGGAUCAUUACAGUAUUCUUUUGCCAGCGCUUAACUGCGCGGCGAAAAACCUUACACACAGUGUCUUUUUGAUACAGAACUCUUGCUUUGGUUUGGCCUAGAGAUAGGUUGGGCCAGAGGUUUAACAAAACACAAUUUAAUUAUUUUUACAGUUAGUCAAAUUUUGAAUUAAUCUUCAAAACUUUCAACAACGGAUCUCUUGGUUCUCGCAUCGAUGAAGAACGCAGCGAAAUGCGAUAAGUAAUAUGAAUUGCAGAUUUUCGUGAAUCAUCGAAUCUUUGAACGCACAUUGCGCCCUCUGGUAUUCCAGAGGGCAUGCCUGUUUGAGCGUCAUUUCUCUCUCAAACCCCCGGGUUUGGUAUUGAGUGAUACUCUUAGUCGGACUAGGCGUUUGCUUGAAAAGUAUUGGCAUGGGUAGUACUGGAUAGUGCUGUCGACCUCUCAAUGUAUUAGGUUUAUCCAACUCGUUGAAUGGUGUGCGGGAUAUUUCUGGUAUUGUUGGCCCGGCCUUACAACAACCAAACAAGUUUGACCUCAAAUCAGGUAGGAAUACCCGCUGAACUUAAGCAUAUCAAUAAGG
rnacentral:rRNA from 1 species